CUGGGUUCCUGUGGUGGGGGUGGGGGCUGUCCUGACUGUUGGAGCUCUUCUACUCACCAUCUACUGCUGUAUGAAGAMGAGAUCCACAGGAGGAAGUGAUGCCACAGCAGACACACAGAAUGUGAGGGAUUCCCCAGUGACACAGCCCCUCAGAAAGAUGCUGAGCCCUCCGAUUAUCAGAACUGAAGAGAACGACCACAGAACCUGGAAUGAAGAGAACAACCACAGAACCUGGACUGAAGAGAACCACCACAGAACCUGGACUGAACAGAACCACCACAUACCCUAGACUGAAGAGAACCACCACAGAAACUGGACUGAAGAAAACCACCACAGAACAUGGACUGAACAGAACCACCUCAUAACUUGGACUGAAGAGAACCACCACAGAACCUGGACUGAAGAGACCCACCACAGAACAUGGACUGA